UGGGAUUUAGCUCAGUGGUAGAGUGCUUGCCUAGUAUGUACAAGACCCUGGGUUCAAUCCCCAGUGUCACAA
rnacentral:tRNA from 1 species